AAAAUUUGGUGGAGAAUAAAAGAGAGAAAGUUCCAAGGGAUCGCCGGGGAAGGAAAAAAAAUUUGAAGAUCACAAGUAAUAAAAAGAGACUAGAAAAAGACAUUAACAAAGAAAAAAAAAAAACAUGAGAAAUAAUACCUUUUCCACUCCUCUUCCAAAAAAAAAAAAAUUCAACCCAAGCCGUCAUUUUUUUUUUAAGCCAGAAUCUAUCUAGCCACACUGCCACAGACCCCAUCUUUUCCACCUCACACAGGUGCCACAUUCUCUCUUCAAUCCCCCAUGAUCAUGUUUGCAAAGAAGUAGCAACAGCCACCACCAGACCACAAGCAAGCCACCAUAAAUCUAUCUCGUUCCUCUCUAAUACUAACUGACAGCCUCUCUCCCAACACCAGCACGAAACACCCAUCUUCUCCACACAGUCGCAGAUCUGCCCAAAUGAACCCAACAAUAAUCAAGAUCGUGUUCCACCAAGAAUGAGGUCUUUCCUGCCUGGUUUUUUGUAGGUUUCGGUAGAGGAGCAUGGAACACAUACGUCGUCUCACCAGCCCUUGCUUCACGCAUUGCCUACUGUCCCGAGUGUGACCUCCACAAACCGUCACUGCCGAGCUCAUGAGUUCCAGCAGCUUUCGACCGACUCCAAUGACUCUCGAAGGUCAAUUUCAAACCCCUAACGCGGUAAUUUAUUUGUUUUGGAUAAUUUGUAAUAUAUUUGUUGAUUUUUUAUUGUGUGGGUGUGUGUUGGAUGAUAUUAUUCUACAUGUGUGGAUGUGUUCGUUUGAUUAUUGUGAGACUUAAUUGGUGUAAUUAAAAAGGUUGCUAUUUUUUUUUUGUUUUUUCCUUGCGUGAUGUUUGUUGAUUGUCGUUUUUAUAAUAGAAUUGAUCCAAUA
rnacentral:lncRNA from 1 species